rnacentral:rRNA from 1 species
UACGGGGGGGGCAAGCGUUGUUCGGAAUUACUGGGCGUAAAGGGCUCGUAGGCGGCCAACUAAGUCAGACGUGAAAUCCCCAGGCUCAACCUGGGAACUGCGUCUGAUACUGGAUGGCUUGAAUUCGGGAGAGGGAUGCAGAAUUCCAGGUGUAGCGGUGAAAUGCGUAGAUAUCUGGAGGAAUACCGGUGGCGAAGGCGGCAUCCUGGACCGACAUUGACGCUGAGGCGCGAAAGCUAGGGGAGCAAACGGG